rnacentral:rRNA from 1 species
UACGUAGGUGGCAAGCGUUUGUCCGGAAUUAUUGGGCGUAAAGCGCGCGCAGGUGGUUUCUUAAGUCUGAUGUGAAAGCCCACGGCUCAACCGUGGAGGGUCAUUGGAAACUGGGGAACUUGAGUGCAGAAGAGGAAAGUGGAAUUCCACGUGUAGCGGUGAAAUGCGUAGAGAUGUGGAGGAACACCAGUGGCGAAGGCGACUUUCUGGUCUGUAACUGACACUGAGGCGCGAAAGCGUGGGGAGCGAACAGG